AUUGAACGCUGGCGGAAUGCUUUACACAUGCAAGUCGAACGGCAGCACGGACUUCGGUCUGGUGGCGAGUGGCGAACGGGUGAGUAAUAUAUCGGAACGUGCCCAGUCGUGGGGGAUAACGUAGCGAAAGCUACGCUAAUACCGCAUACGAUCUACGGAUGAAAGCGGGGGAUCGCAAGACCUCGCGCGAUUGGAGCGGCCGAUAUCAGAUUAGGUAGUUGGUGAGGUAAAGGCUCACCAAGCCGACGAUCUGGAGCUGGUCUGAGAGGACGACCAGCCAGACUGGGACUGAGACACGGCCCAGACUCCUACGGGAGGCAGCAGUGGGGAAUUUUGGACAAUGGACGCAAGUCUGAUCCAGCCAUUCCGCGUGCAGGACGAAGGCCUUCGGGUUGUAAACUGCUUUUGUACAGAACGAAAAGGUCUCUAUUAAUACUAGGGGCUCAUGACGGUACUGUAAGAAUAAGCACCGGCUAACUACGUGCCAGCCGCCGCGGUAA
rnacentral:rRNA from 1 species